rnacentral:lncRNA from 1 species
CCUUACUUGACACUAAAAGGUUGUAUUCUAUACCAAUUUGUUUGAUAAAAAUAAAAAUAAAAACCAACUUCUGUCUGCAGCUGUACCCCUUCUAGCCAAGACCAAAUCGCAUGACGACAGGAUAACGAAUUUGACAUCACUUCCGUCUGUACUUCGUCGGGCCACAACCCUCUGACGUCGACUUCAAAACACUUCCAGAGCUUCUCUACCGAGACAGAUGUAACACGAUGUGCUGAUGAGACUGCAAUCCUUGGCCCUGAAAAUGGACGUAAUGAUAUCUGCACAAGGUAUGAACCUGAUAUGGGCAUCGUCUAUCCUCAACAUGUCCAGGCGGACACCUUCACAUCUCAGACAGAUAUAACAAUGGGCCAAUCCUUAAUAAUGCCCACUGUAGAAGAAGCAUUGAGGGACCUCUACCCCAUCUGUAAGGAAAAAGGACUUGACAUUGUUGUGAAAUCAAAAUAUGGGAAAGCUGAGAAACUUGACUUGCAUCUAUUGACCAGAGAUGUAAUGUUUGAAUUGGCUGAUUUUGCCUCACAAGUGUGUGGAAAUUGGAAGCAGAUUGUGUGUGAGGUUCUCGAGCAUAAUUUUGAUUUGGAUUUAAAAAGUGGUAAAACUGAGCUGGCUGAAGAUAUUAUGGGAAGGUUAAGAGCAGUUUUGCAGCGCAAGACGGGUAAAAACGGUACAUGGAGAUGGGAACUUGAAAAUGAAGCUUUCUUCUUAAAGAAGUCACGCAAACGAAAGAAUCCUGCAGAGAUGUCCAGUAACCAGAAGGUCACUACAGCAUCACUUGAGCCAAAAUACCAAAUGAAAGAAGUAUCAAAAAGAAGGAGAUUGAAUUUAAUGAGGAAGAAGAAAGACAUGGACAUGUUUGUAACCAAGGAGACUGAGGGAGGCCAUUUUUUUGAAGUCAUACAAAUAGAACCUCAUUGUGUCAAAACAGAGAGAAUCUCUGAUGACACUGACCUUGCACUUUGUACUGAUGAAACAAAGCAAAUUGGUAACAACAAUGUAGACCAAUCAAAUGUGACGUCUCACACCAAAAAAAUGGUGAAAGCCGAAGCGUGCUACCCACUCUGUGAGGAAAUAGGCGUGGACCUUGAUGUUGCAUCCAAACCUUCUAAAAAUAAACUGGAAUUUCACUUACUGACAAACGGUGUAAUAUUUGAGGUGUAUAAAUAUGCUAAGAUAAAAUCCUAUCAUAAAAAAGAAAAAAGAUUUGGCUAUAUUCUCUUUGAUAUUCUAAAAUAUAAUUUUGAUCUUAGUUUGCAAAAUCAGAGACGUAAUCUAUUUCAACUGCGUAUUAACUGUAAAGUGAAAAGAAUGGUUCAGAAACACAAACCUGAGCUCUUGGGAAAAGGAGAAAUCUCUAAAGAAGUGUUCAUACUACCGAGUGUGAUUAAAAGCCAAGCAAAAAAAAAAACUGUGCUUUCAGAUUAUUUUCCUGAAAAAAAUAUAGAACAAGAUGCAAGGCUGGUUUAUCCUCAUCAUAGUAAAGACACUAUCGCUGUGGAGACAGUUGAAACAAUCUCCACUGAUGAAGCAGUAAUGCUUGGCCAGGAUAAUGGACCUGCUGACAUCUGCAUAAAGGAGGAGUCUGAUCUUCACUCUGAGGUCAAACUGGUUUAUUUCUGCAAAGACCAAGAAACUGUCAGAACAUCUGAAGAGCAUUUGAUCAAAGAUGGAUCAUGGCAUGGAUCAACACCCAGUAAUAUUCUGACUGGAAAUGUAUUCAGCCUUCCACAGUCGCCACUACCAGCUGCAGAAAGUGGUCCUUUCGGAAGUAAAAUCAAGUCAACAUCACAGAUAUAACCAGAAGGUCCCUGCAGCAUCACUUGAGCCAAAAUACCAUAGGCUCACAGAAGUAACAGGGGGAAAAAAGGGAUUUAAUGAGGAUAAAUAAAUGUUUAUAGCCAAGAAGGAAAAGAAAGUUGUCAGACAAGUAGAACCUCAUUGAGAUGAGAUGGAGAGCAUCUGCCAAGGAAAAGAAAAGCACUUCCUGACUGAGCUCUCAGGGAAAAGAAAAGCACUUCCUGACUGAGCUCUCAGGGAAAAGAAAAGCACUUCCUGACUGAGAUCUCAGGGAAAAGAAAAGCACUUCCUGACUGAGCUCUCAGGGAAAAGAAAAGCACUUCCUGACAGAUCUCAGGGAAAAGAAAAGCACUUCCUGACUGAGAUCUCAGGGAAAAGAAAAGCACUUCCUGACUGAGCUCUCAGGGAAAAGAAAAGCACUUCCUGACUGAGAUCUCAGGGAAAAGAAAAGCACUUCCUGACUGAGCUCUCAGGGAAAAGAAAAGCACUUCCUGACUGAGCUCUCAGGGAAAAGAAAAGCACUUCCUGACUGAGCUCUCAGGGAAAAGAAAAGCACUUCCUGACUGAGAUCUCAGGGGAAAAAAAGAUGCAAGAUGGAAAGAAAAGUCUGAUCUGCUCCCUAGGGAAAAGCCAGUUUCUUAUUUGCCUGGGGGAAAAAAAGAUUGAUAUUGUUAUAUGUGAUGAAGUGCAACACGAGGUGGAUUCUUACUGAACUUUCAAAAUGCUUUGUAGUUGAGACUGGUUCUGAGAAGAAAUGCUAACAAAUCCUUGCUGAAUACAGAUCAGACAUCCUAGGAUUUGGGGGCUAUUAUAUUGGUCUUUUGGAUCAUACUUGGAAUGUGAAAAGGUUCCUAAUGUUAGUUUUAGGUCUCCCUGAAGUCCGUAGACUUCCAUUCUAUUACUCACCCUAGAACAGUCAACAAGCCUAACACGGAUGUGUAUUCAUUAGGCAUACUGUAGCUAAAUGUUUAAUGGGGAGUCAACAAGCCUAACACAGAUGUGUAUUCAUUAGGCAUACUGUAGCUAAAUGUUUCAUGGGUAGUCAACAAGCCUAACACAGAUGUGUAUUCAUUAGGCAUACUGUAGCUAAAUGUUUAAUGGGGAGUCAACAAGCCUAACACAGAUGUGUAUUCAUUAGGCAUACUGUAGCUAAAUGUUUCAUGGGGAGUCAACAAGCCUAACACAGAUGUGUAUUCAUUAGGCAUACUGUAGCUAAAUGUUUAAUGGGUAGUCAACAAGCCUAACACAGAUGUGUAUUCAUUAGGCAUACUGUAGCUAAAUGUUUCAUGGGGAGUCAACAAACCUAACACAGAUGUGUAUUCAUUAGGCAUACUGUAGCUAAAUGUUUCAUGGGGAGUCAACAAGCCUAACACAGAUGUGUAUUCAUUAGGCAUACUGUAGCUAAAUGUUUCAUGGGGAGGCUACACUAACGCUUCUUGGACCAAUUCAGAAAUUGGUACACAAGGAGUAGCCUAGUCUUUUUAGGAUUAAGUGAAAAUAGGGAGACAAUAUAUUUUAAACGUAUUCGUAUUAAGGGUUUUAGUCUUUUGAAUAGUGGAUUUUUGCAGAUUGCCUUGGCCUUCCUUCCUGUUUAACUGUUGAUGUCUGGUCUCGCUGUAGAGAAUGAAUACAGCAGGAUUAUUGCGAGACUUAUUUUUUUUCUCUUAACUAUUUUACACCGUAUUCAUUGAUGAGACAAACUCGACUACUUUUACAAGCCUCUAUAUAGAAGAAAACUUCUGAUCUUUUUUUGUUUAGAAAUAAAAAGACAAACAGAUAUAUUUUAUUUUGUAAGAGUAUGCAUUAGUGAAAUAACCUACUAUGAUGGGUCAUGUUUUUAUCUUUUUUUUUUAUCAGUGGGCUAUUUUGAUUUUUUUUUUUUUGCCCUUUUUUUGUGGAAAGGUUAAGAGACUGCAUCAAGACCUGCCUUACUGUUACCCACAUGUUCCUGUUUUGAACAUGGAGCUAUUCUACCGUAAACUAAGAUUUUUUUAAUUUUUUUUAAGGAUACUUCCACUGACAUUCUUAGAGGUGUCAUUUUAUUGUGAGGAACUGCAUUUCGAUCAGAAUAGUUUUUCUGUUUUGUCCUCUGUUUUUGUGAGUGACUCAGUCACUCGUCUCAGUGCACAAGUCUCCCCUUUCUCCAGACAUGGCGUAUGAAUCAGAAUCCGUAGCUAGUUAUGACACGUGAGCUUCUGGAUGAAAAGCAGAGUAUCCCUAAAGCAGCGUGGUCGUAUCAUCCCUUCUCCAUGUUGGACUAAACACUUUCAACUCUACACAAGUGAAAACCCCAAAUCCCUAAAGUGGUGGAGAAGGAGGCCACCUACAGAAUGUUAGGAGCAGUGGCUUGUUCCCAGGAGACCAACACUUGAGGACGCAACUUCUGUCAUGAUGACGAGGUGGCAUCUCCGCUGAUCCUCUAUUUGCCAUACUAGAGGGACAUGAAGUCUGACUCCAUCUUCAACAUGUGGACCUGCCCUGAUGAUGUUGGACACCACUGUUACACCUUCAGCCAUGUUGAUUUCCUGUCAGACUGGGUUUUUUAUUUUUUACUCCUUUCCAUGGACGGACUGACCUUUUACCAGAACAGGAAUACAAUGUUUAUCAGACCCUCCUCACCAGUGGACUAACUACUCAAACUGGUCGUGAAGUCACAGGAAAUAGACUGAUCUGUUAGGAGGGAUGCAGCAUUCUAAUCCUGGUUAGAUUAUAGUUAUAAGGAGAGUUCAGGUAGUAACCAGUACAUUGAGAUAAAUGUAGAUGUCCACACUCUGGACAAUAUAAAAGGCUUUGGAGAGGGACCACGUUUUCAGGAGAAGGAUAACAGGACCUUGUCCAGAAACAACCCCCAGCUCUGUAUGCAACUGUAUGCACAAUUCCCUGAUUCUAUUAAAUAAUGUAUUACAUUGCCUUUAUAAAAUUUCCUGUACACAUCACAUUUUAGAAAUUCAAUGGUCAUGAAAUUAUUAUUAUUUUUUCCGCAUUUACACUGUUUGGCCUUUUGUCGUGGAAUUGUUUGUGUGCAUCUUAAGAGUGGAAACCCUGUGUAUAGAUCUGAAAUGAUUCGCUCUUUAAACAUUUCAUCUAGCCUAUCAGUGGGUACGUUUUGUCACUUUUGCUUUGUUAUACCACAAUCUUUGAGUUUUACAUUAAUUCUAGUCUGGCAACAGGUUCUCUGGGUUUAAAUAAAAUGAGGUUUCCUAGGGUCUCAGAUGUAGAUAAAUCCUAAAAAUCAUGUUCAAUGGAGACUCACCGUUGAAAGUGUUUUUACAGGCCUGCUACACUGGACAGUAUUGUAGCAGGGCAUUAGAGGCUCUUACUUAAACCCGGC